rnacentral:rRNA from 1 species
UACGAAGGGGGCUAGCGUUGUUCGGAAUCACUGGGCGUAAAGCGCACGUAGGCGGAUUCUUAAGUCGGUGGUGAAAUCCUGGAGCUCAACUCCAGAACUGCCUUCGAUACUGAGAGUCUUGAGUUCGGGAGAGGUGAGUGGAACUGCGAGUGUAGAGGUGAAAUUCGUAGAUAUUCGCAAGAACACCAGUGGCGAAGGCGGCUCACUGGCCCGAUACUGACGCUGAGGUGCGAAAGCGUGGGGAGCAAACAGG